UACGUAGGUGGCAAGCGUUGUCCGGAUUUACUGGGCGUAAAGAGCGCGCAGGCGGUUGAUUAAGUCGAAUGUGAAAGCCCCCGGCUCAACUGGGGAGGGUCAUUCGAUACUGAUUGACUUGAAGGCAGGAGAGAGAAGUGGAAUUCCCGGUGUAGUGGUGAAAUGCGUAGAUAUCGGGAGGAACACCAGUGGCGAAGGCGACUUCUUGGCCUGUUCUUGACGCUGAGGCGCGAAAGCUAGGGGAGCAAACGGG
rnacentral:rRNA from 1 species